UCACAUUCCGAUACGAUGUUAUUCGAACGCAUAGAGAGUUUACGAAGGUCAACACAACUUACAUAACGGAGUCAAGGAGCUACUCUUAUGGAGAAUACCCUGUUCACUUCGCAGAUGAUGUGUGUAUGGUUAUUGCGUUUCCGAGAACAUCAACCUACAUUUUCAAAAGACCUCGCUGCGCACUCUGGGUUCUCAAUACGACACUUGAAUCACCGUCCAAGUACAGACACUGCUUGUUUAUUUUGUUUGCAACCUGCAGAACUCCUAUAUAUAAUUUAUAUGAGUACGAAAAGGCGGAGUGCGAACAAUGGGGCGACCCUCAAGAGUCA
rnacentral:lncRNA from 1 species